rnacentral:rRNA from 1 species
UCUUAGACAAUGGGCGCAAGCCUGAUCUAGCCAUGCCGCGUAGUGUGACAGAAGGCUCUUAGGGUCUGAUAAAGCACUUUCGCCUGUAGAUGAUAAUGACAGUAGCAGGUAAAGAAACCCCGGCUAACUCCGUGCCAGCAGCCGCGGUAAUACGGAGGGGGUUAGCGUUGUUCGGAAUUACUGGGCGUAAAGCGCACGUAGGCGGAUUGGAAAGUAUGGGGUGAAAUCCCAGGGCUCAACCCUGAGAACUGCCUCAUAAACUUCCAGUCUAGAGUUCGAGAGAGGUGAGUGGAAUUCCGAGUGUAGAGGUGAAAUUCGUAGAUAUUCGGAGGAACACCAGUGGCGAAGGCGGCUCACUGGCUCAGAUACUGACGCUGAGGUGCGAAAGUGUGGGGAGCAAACAGGAUUAGAUACCCUGGUAGUCCACACCGUAAACGAUGAAUGC